rnacentral:lncRNA from 1 species
GGAAAAUAAAAACAGCAGACCUAUGAAGGUCGAAGGGGAAGAAAAGCUGUAUCGAUUGUUGAGAUCUGGCGACUUGUUUAAAUUUCAUCAGCCUCACUUCUAUGAACUCUCAGAGCUGAUUACCAACUCCUACCACUGUUAACCCUCAUCCAGGAACAAGCUUAUGUCUUUAACAUUCUGAGUGGGCUUCAGCAUCCUUGCAUAUGUUCAAUUCUUAAAAACCUGUUGAAAUAAAAGAUCAGGAGACAUAGGAAGGAUGCCAGAAGAGAGCGUGGCCUCACGUGUACCAGCUCUCUGCUCUCCUUUGCCUUGGGACGUUCCAUCCCUGGAAGUUUCCCUGCCCACAUCUUUGUAGAGAGUCCAUUCUCCAAGCUUCAGUGUGUCAUCUGUGAGGACCGUGACCCACCUGGUACAUCGCCUCAGGGCAUUCAUUUCAGGCUCCUUCUAAAUGGCCAAGAGACAACACCAACAUUUUUGUAAUGGCCUGCAAGGCCUUCCGAGAUCUACCUCCUGCAACUCAGCUUCUCCUGUGCUCUCCUUCUGGACUCACUCUGCCUCAGCAACACUGGUCCCUGUUGCCCCACCAAUAUGCCAGAGCUGCAGCAAGCUGUUCGUCAGAGUCAUCUUUGGUGACUAUCUGCCUACAGGCAUUCCUUUGCACUCUGGGUGUAGCCCUCAGUGCUGGGCUUACAAAGAAGACGACACAAAAGCAACCAUGAAAAGAUCUUGGAAGCAGAGGGAUCUGCAGAAGUGCUUGCAACACUUUCAGCCUUAACCAGCAUCAGAGACAAAAAUCCUUUCUGGAAUGAGCCUCUCAGGAACCUCUAGUGUUUGUGAAGUUCCUCAGGAAAUCUGAGGACAAGUGAGUUUGGAAAUGACACUGAGGGAUGGGGAAACAGGACUGCUGAUGAAGCUGACCAUCCUCAAGCCAGCUGCCAUAUUGGGAGCCAUCCUUCAGAAAGGCCUACUUGGCCAGCAACUGAGGGAAGCUUCAAGCCAGUGGCCAAUGAGAAACUAAGGCCCUCAUGCCAACAGCUUGAGGAUAAUUGAAUCCUGCCAGCCACCAUAUGAGAGACUUAGAAGUGGAUCCUUCCCGGUAGCGCCUUCAGAAGACACUGCAACCUUGUGGGAAAUCUCAGGCAGAGACAUCCAUCUAAGCUGCACCUGGAUAUGCAUGUGACAGAAGAUAAUAUGACAAAUGUUGUUAAAGCCACUAAAAUUUUAGAGUUAUUUGUUGUGCAAUAAUAGAUAACUUAUACAGCUGUGGUGCCAGGAGUUGGGUUUGAAACCCCUGAAACUUUCUAUAUUUUCUACAUUAAGAAGUAAUAUCUCUUA